GUGAAGUGAUGAAUCAGUUUAUCCAUUCUCUGAGCGGCCAUCUUGUCGCAGUCUCCGCCUCCGCUCCCGUUCUGGGGGCGUGGCCUCUCGGCCGCGGUGCCGGCGUCGUCCCGGCGUUCUGCUGGGACGACAACCCGACGCCGCGCGGAGAGAACGACUCGACUCGAGCGCCGCGAAGACGAUUUACACGUUCUGAUCAC
rnacentral:snoRNA from 1 species